AUUCUAUAAAAGAAAGUAUAACACUCACUGCACAAUUAGAAUUUGUCGUUGUUUAGCUUCAGAGGUGGUCACGUAUGUAUCGUAUCUAAUUUGCGGAAUUUCAUCAUGCCCGGUUGGUCCCUGAAUCAAAUAAUUGCCUACUUCAUGGGUGAUCCAGAUUUUGAAAGCUACGGAGGAGAAAUAUUUGGUUCCAAUUAAUAAAAUAGAAGCCUUAUGGAUUUAAUAAUGGAAAUUUAAUAAAACCUUUUCAAAAUAUUGAGGAAG